rnacentral:rRNA from 1 species
AACGAACGCUGGCGGCAUGCCUAACACAUGCAAGUCGAACGAGGCCCUUCGGGGUUUGGUGGCGCACGGGUGCGUAACGCGUGGGAAUCUGCCCUUUGGUUCGGAAUAACAGCUGGAAACGGAUGCUAAUACCGGAUGAUGACGAGAGUCCAAAGAUUUAUCGCCAGAGGAUGCGCCCGCGUUGGAUUAGGUAGGUGGUGGGGUAAAGGCCUACCAAGCCGACGAUCCAUAGCUGGUCUGAGAGGAUGAUCAGCCACACUGGGACUGAGACACGGCCCAGACUCCUACGGGAGGAAGCAGUGGGGAAUAUUGGACAAUGGGCGCAAGCCUGAUCCAGCAAUGCCGCGUGAGUGAUGAAGGCCCUAGGGUUGUAAAGCUCUUUUACCCGGGAAGAUAAUGACUGUACCGGGAGAAUAAGCCCCGGCUAACUCCGUG